rnacentral:rRNA from 1 species
UACGGAGGGAGCUAGCGUUGUUCGGAAUUACUGGGCGUAAAGCGCGCGUAGGCGGUUUUUUAAGUCAGAGGUGAAAGCCCGGGGCUCAACCCCGGAAUAGCCUUUGAAACUGGAAAACUUGAAUCAUGGAGAGGUCAGUGGAAUUCCGAGUGUAGAGGUGAAAUUCGUAGAUAUUCGGAAGAACACCAGUGGCGAAGGCGACUGACUGGACAUGUAUUGACGCUGAGGUGCGAAAGCGUGGGGAGCAAACAGG